rnacentral:rRNA from 1 species
UACAGGGGGGGCAAGCGUUGUUCGGAAUUACUGGGCGUAAGGGCUCGUAGGCGGCCAACUAAGUCACACGUGAAAUCCCCAGGCUUAACCUGGGAACUGCGUGUGAUACUGGAUGGCUUGAAUCCGGGAGAGGGAUGCAGAAUUCCAGGUGUAGCGGUGAAAUGCGUAGAUAUCUGGAGGAAUACCGGUGGCGAAGGCGGUAUCCUGGACCGGCAUUGACGCUGAUGAGCGAAAGCUAGGGGAGCAAACGGG